GCUUCGCUGAUAAGAAGAGCAUAGCCACAACCGGACCACUCUACUGUUCUGGUUCUAAAGCCAUGGGAGCUAAGCUUGCUCGUGCUGAAAACGGGAUCCAGAGCGUUAUGAGUUUCUCUUCGGUCAAAGCUCGAUCGGUCAGAGCUCAAGCCUCCUCUGGAGAUGCAGAAGAAGCUAUACCUCUGAGAUCUGAAGGCAAACGCUCUGGAACUGUUUUACCUUUUGUUGGUGUUGCUU
rnacentral:lncRNA from 1 species